rnacentral:rRNA from 1 species
GCUACGGGCGGCAGCAGUGAGGAAUAUUGGUCAAUGGACGCAAGUCUGAACCAGCCAUGCCGCGUGCAGGAAGACGGCUCUAUGAGUUGUAAACUGCUUUUGUACGAGGGUAAACGCAGAUACGCGUAUCUGUCUGAAAGUAUCGUACGAAUAAGGAUCGGCUAACUCCGUGCCAGCAGCCGCGGUAAUACGGAGGAUUCAAGCGUUAUCCGGAUUGAUUGGGUUUAAAGGGUGCGUAGGCGGUCGGAUAAGUUAGAGGUGAAAUCCCGAGGCUCAACUUCGGAAUUGCCUCUGAUACUGUUCGGCUAGAGAGUAGUUGCGGUAGGCGGAAUGUAUGGUGUAGCGGUGAAAUGCUUAGAGAUCAUACAGAACACCGAUUGCGAAGGCAGCUUACCAAGCUACGUCUGACGUUGAGGCACGAAAGCGUGGGGAGCAAACAGGAUUAGAUACCCUAGUAGUC